UACGGGGGGGAGCAAGCGUUUGUUCGGAUUUACUGGGGCGUAAAGGGCGCGUAGGCGGCGUGACAAGUCACUUGUGAAAUCUCCGGGCUUAACUCGGAACGGUCAAGUGAUACUGUCGUGCUAGAGUACAGAAGGGGCAACUGGAAUUCUCGGUGUAGCGGUGAAAUGCGUAGAUAUCGAGAGGAACACCUGCGGCGAAGGCGGGUUGCUGGGCUGAUACUGACGCUGAGGCGCGAAAGCUAGGGGAGCGAACGGG
rnacentral:rRNA from 1 species